rnacentral:tRNA from 1 species
CAUUAGCUGAGUGGAUAACGCGAUUGCGUUUGAAGCAAAAGAUACUGGGUUCGAGUCCCAGAAUGAA